rnacentral:rRNA from 1 species
AUUGAACGCUAGCGGGAUGCCUUACACAUGCAAGUCGAACGGAGUGGCGAACGGGUGAGUAAUGUAUCGGAACGUGACCAGUAGCGGGGGAUAGCUACGCGAAAGCGUAGCUAAUACCGCAUACUAUUUGAGCGGCCGAUUUCGUAUUAGCUAGUUGGUGGGGUAACGGCUCACCAAGGCGACGAUCCGUAGCCGGGUUGAGAGGAGGACCAGCCACACUGGGACUGAGACACGGCCCAGACUCCUACGGGAGGCAGCAGUGGGGAAUUUUGCACAAUGGGCGAAACCCUGAUCCAGCAAUCCCGCGUGUGUGAUGAAGGCCUUCGGGUUGUAAAGCACUGUUGGCAGGAAAGCGGUACCUGCAGAAUAAGCACCGGCUAACUACGUGCCAGCAGCCGCGGUAAUUC